rnacentral:SRP_RNA from 1 species
CCGUGCUAGAUGGGGAUUUAGCGGUUCCCUGUAACCUGCAACCCGCUAUAGCAGGAUUGAAUUCCCAGUCUCGGCAUUUCUAUUGUGAGGUCUGCCCUAGACAAGUGGCGUUGACGAUUGGGUCCCAUGCAACGAAAACCUAUGAACCCCGUCAGAUCCGGAAGGAAGCAGCGGUAAGUGGAUCUUUUCGUGUGUUGUGGGGAAGCCUGAUUUGAGCUAACUACCUAGGUAACGCUCGGAAUAGAAUGACAAAACUGGGUGCACGG